rnacentral:misc_RNA from 1 species
CGGCGAGCUUUUCUGGAUAUACGCUUUCAGCACUUCGGCAUCAAUAAAGCCGGUAUUCACAUAGCCCGGUUUGUUAUCAAGGCGCGGAUAGCCAUCACCGCCGGUGGCAUUGAA